UACAGAGGGUGCGAGCGUUAAUCGGAAUUACUGGGCGUAAAGCGCACGUAGGUGGCGACGUAAGUCGGGUGUGAAAGCCCCGGGCUCAACCUGGGAAUUGCAUUCGAGACUGCAUUGCUGGAGUACGGAAGAGGAAGGCGGAAUUCCCGGUGUAGCGGUGAAAUGCGUAGAUAUCAGGAGGAACACCGGUGGCGAAGGCGGUUCUCUGGGCCUGUACUGACGCUGAGGAACGAAAGCGUGGGGAGCGAACAGG
rnacentral:rRNA from 1 species